UACGAAGGGGGCUAGCGUUGCUCGGAAUCACUGGGCUUAAAGGGUGCGUAGGCGGCCGACUAAGUAGGGUGUGAAAUGCCAGAGCUCAACUUCGGCAUUGCGCUCUAGACUGGUUGGCUUGAGUGAGAUAGGGGUGUGCGGAACUUCCAGUGGAGCGGUGAAAUGUGUUGAUAUUGGAAGGAACGCCGGUGGCGAAAGCGGCACACUGGGUCUUAACUGACGCUGAGGCACGAAAGCCAGGGGAGCGAACGGG
rnacentral:rRNA from 1 species